UGAGGGAAAGGCGAAAAGAACCCCGGCGAGGGGAGUGAAAAAGAACCUGAAACCGUGUACGUACAAGCAGUGGGAGCACAGGUUUACCUGUGUGACUGCGUACCUUUUGUAUAAUGGGUCAGCGACUUAUAUUCUGUAGCAAGGUUAACCGAAUAGGGGAGCCGGAGGGAAACCGAGUCUUAAUUGGGCGUUAAGUUGCAGGGUAUAGACCCGAAACCCGGUGAUCUAGCCAUGGGCAGGUUGAAGGUUGGGUAACACUAACUGGAGGACCGAACCGACUAAUGUUGAAAAAUUAGCGGAUGACCUGUGGCUGGGGGUGAAAGGCCAAUCAAACCGGGAGAUAGCUGGUUCUCCCCGAAAGCUAUUUAGGUAGCGCCUCGUGAAUUCAUCUCCGGGGGUAGAGCACUGUUUCGGCUAGGGGGCCAUCCCGGCUUACCAACCCGAUGCAAACUGCGAAUACCGGAGAAUGUUAUCACGGGAGACACACGGCGGGUGCUAACGUCCGUCGUGAAGAGGGAAACAACCCAGACCGCCAGCUAAGGUCCCAAAGUCAUGGUUAAGUGGGAAACGAUGUGGGAAGGCCCAGACAGCCAGGAUGUUGGCUUAGAAGCAGCCAUCAUUUAAAGAAAGCGUAAUAGCUCACUGGUCGAGUCGGCCUGCGCGGAAGAUGUAACGGGGCUAAACCAUGCACCGAAGCUGCGGCAGCGACGCUUAUGCGUUGUUGGGUAGGGGAGCGUUCUGUAAGCCUGUGAAGGUGUGUCGUGAGGC
rnacentral:rRNA from 1 species